rnacentral:rRNA from 1 species
AUUGAACGCUGGCGGCAGGCCUAACACAUGCAAGUCGAACGGUAACAGGCAACAGCUUGCUGUUUCGCUGACGAGUGGCGGAUGGGUGAGUAAUGUCUGGGAAACUGCCUGAUGGAGGGGGAUUACUACUGGAAACGGUAGCUCAUACCGCAUAGCGUCGCAGGACCAAAGGGGGGGACCUUCGGGCCUCUUGCCAUCGGAUGUGCCCAGUUGGGAUGAGCUAGUGGGUGGGGUAACGGCUCACCUAGGCGACGAUCCCUACCUGGGCUGUGAGGAUGACCAGGCACACUAGAACGGAGAGACGGUCCAGACCCCUACGGGAGGCAGCAGUGGGGAAUAUUGCACAAGGGGCGCAAGCCUGAUGCAGCCAGGCCGCGUGUAGGAAGAAGGCCUCCGGGUUGUAAAGUACUUUCAGCGGGGAUGAAGGGAGUAAAGUUAAUACCGUUGCUCAGUGACGUUACCCGCAUAAGAAGCACCGGCUAACUCCGUG